UACGGAGGGUGCAAGCGUUAUCCGGAUUUACUGGGGUUUAAAGGGUGUGUAGGCGGGCUUUUAAGUCAGUGGUGAAAUCCGUCCGGCUCAACCCGGAAACUGCCAUUGAUACUAUUAGUCUUGAAUUUUGUUGAGGUAGGCGGAAUAAGUCAUGUAGCGGUGAAAUGCUUAGAUAUGACUUUAGAACACCAAUUGCGAAGGCAGCUUGCUAAACAAACAUUGACGCUGAGGCACGAAAGCGUGGGGAUCAAAACAGG
rnacentral:rRNA from 1 species